UACGUAGGGUGCAAGCGUUAAUCGGAAUUACUGGGCGUAAAGUGUGCGCAGGCGGCCGCGCAAGUCGAGUGUGAAAGCCCCGAGCUUAACUUGGGAACUGCGCUCGAAACUACGUGGCUGGAGUGUGGCAGAGGAAGGUGGAAUUCCACGUGUAGCGGUGAAAUGCGUAGAGAUGUGGAGGAACACCGAUGGCGAAGGCGGGUCUCUGGGCCGUAACUGACGCUGAGGAGCGAAAGCGUGGGGAGCGAACAGG
rnacentral:rRNA from 1 species